GUCAGGUACCCCAUGCCUAAAGGCAGGGGCUUGUGAACGCAAGCCCGGACCUGUCCAGACUUCGCCAUGAGCUUUCUGUUUCGGCAGACGGCUAUCGGGCUACGAUAGAGGUGAAGCGUUCAAGUUCCUACCUACGGGUGCGUGCCAGCCUGUAGCUCUAGA
rnacentral:sRNA from 21 species